CUAAGUUUGAUGGCGACCGGCGUACGGGUGAGUAACACGUAUCCAACCUGCCGAUGACUCGGGGAUAGCCUUUCGAAAGAAAGAUUAAUACCCGAUGGCAUAGUUCUUCCGCAUGGUGGAACUAUUAAAGAAUUUCGGUCAUCGAUGGGGAUGCGUUCCAUUAGGUUGUUGGCGGGGUAACGGCCCACCAAGCCUUCGAUGGAUAGGGGUUCUGAGAGGAAGGUCCCCCACAUUGGAACUGAGACACGGUCCAAACUCCUACGGGAGGCAGCAUG
rnacentral:rRNA from 1 species